CGAAGUAUAGCAUAUAUAAUGCUUUUUACUUACACUAAAAAAAUAGUUAAAGACUUGCUUCGC
rnacentral:tRNA from 3 species